GACCAGAUAGCUCUGCCAGUAGAGCACCUAAAUAGUCAUUCAGGGUGUUCACGUUCAAAUCCUGGUUUGGUCA
rnacentral:tRNA from 1 species